rnacentral:rRNA from 1 species
AAGCGCUUGUGACCAGACUUGCGCCAGGCUGAUCAUCCGGUGUUCUCACCGGUGCACUCUGCCUGGCACAGGCCAGCAUCAGUUUUGGUGGGGGGAUAAAGGGCGCAGGAACGUAGCUCCUCCGGGAGUGUUAUAGCCUGUGUCGUAAUGCCCUCGCCGGGACUGAGGACCGCGCAUCUGCAAGGAUGCUGGCGUAAUGGUCAUCAACGA